rnacentral:tRNA from 1 species
GGGCUUGUGGCGCAGCAUGGAUAGCGCGGUAGCCUCCGGAGUUACAGGUCGUGGGAUCGAAGCCCUCCAAGCCCG